UACGGAGGGUGCGAGCGUUGCUCGGAAUUAUUGGGCGUAAAGCGUACGCAGGCGGCUCGGCAAGUCGAGUGUGAAAUCCCGGGGCUCAACUCCGGAACUGCAUUCGAUACUGCCGGGCUUGAGUGCGGGAGAGGGAAGCGGAAUUCCUGGUGUAGAGGUGAAAUUCGUAGAUAUCAGGAGGAACACCGGUGGCGAAAGCGGCUUCCUGGCCCGACACUGACGCUCAUGUACGAAAGCGUGGGGAGCAAACAAG
rnacentral:rRNA from 1 species